rnacentral:rRNA from 1 species
AGAGUUUGAUCCUGGCUCAGGAUGAACGCUAGCGGCAGGCCUAAUACAUGCAAGUCGAACGGUGAUAUUUAUAUCAUAGUGGCGCACGGGUGCGUAACACGUAUGCAACCUACCUAUUAUUGGGGGAUAGCCUUUGGAAACGGAGAUUAAUACCGCAUAAUACGAUUAACUGGCAUCGGUUGAUUGUUAAAGCAUUUGCGAUAAUAGAUGGGCAUGCGUCCAAUUAGUUAGUUGGUGUGGUAAUGGCUCACCAAGACGAUGAUCGGUAGGGGAUCUGAGAGGAUAAUCCCCCACACUGGCACUGAGAUACGGGCCAGACUCCUACGGGAGGCAGCAGUAGGGAAUAUUGGGCAAUGGGCGGAAGCCUGACCCAGCCAUGCCGCGUGCAGGAAGACGGCGUUAUGCGUUGUAAACUGCUUUUUUAUAGGAAGAAGGAUCCCUUGCGAGGGAAGGUGACGGUACUAUAAGAAUAAGCACCGGCUAACUCCGUGCCAGCAGCCGCGGUAAUACGGAGGGUGCAAGCGUUGUCCGGAUUUAUUGGGUUUAAAGGGUGCGUAGGCGGUUUAUUAAGUCAGUGGUGAAAGACGGUCGCUCAACGAUUGCAGUGCCAUUGAUACUGGUAGACUUGAGUGAG